rnacentral:rRNA from 1 species
GAUGAACGCUGGCGGCGUGCUUAACACAUGCAAGUCGAACGAUGAAGCCCAGCUUGCUGGGUGGAUUAGUGGCGAACGGGUGAGUAACACGUGAGUAACCUGCCCUUAACUCUGGGAUAAGCCUGGGAAACUGGGUCUAAUACCGGAUAGGAGCGUCCACCGCAUGGUGGGUGUUGGAAAGAUUUAUCGGUUUUGGAUGGACUCGCGGCCUAUCAGCUUGUCGGUGAGGUAAUGGCUCACCAAGGCGACGACGGGUAGCCGGCCUGAGAGGGUGACCGGCCACACUGGGACUGAGACACGGCCCAGACUCCUACGGGAGGCAGCAGUGGGGGAUAUUGCACAAUGGGCGCAAGCCUGAUGCAGCGACGCCGCGUGAGGGAUGACGGCCUUCGGGUUGUAAACCUCUUUCAGUAGGGAAGAAGCGAAAGUGACGGUACCUGCAGAAGAAGCACCGGCUAACUACGUG